AAAAAUGAAAGCAGUUCAUGGAGAAAAUAAAAACAACUGGUACAAAUUUCCAAGUGAGUAACAAAUUAAACACUAAAGCAAUGUACAUUCUGUACUUUGAUGAAAAGUCAGAAGUUUAAAGGGAGAGGCGGGGUAAAUGCUUAUAGGUUUUCAGUGUAGAAGAUCCAAGGAAAAUGCUCUUACUUGUUAGAACUUCUAGCCGUAUUUGUUGUGAGCUCGUUUUGGAAAUUGUGUCAGUGGUACAAGGAGCCGGCCGUUUGUUUGUGCUUUAAUUAAUAGCUGUUAACUCUGAUUUUAGCCUACUGGCUCUUUAGAAAUACACAGUAACGUAAAGGAACAAUAAAAAAAAAUAAAAACCCAGUGAAUCUGGAGCAGGGGGAAAGGGGAAGAAAAAAAAAAAAAGCGGUGGAUGUAAAUCUCCUAAGGCUUUUACUGAGACAGUUCCAAGAGAAACCUAAUCACCGAGCUGCUGAGAAUCCCAGCCAUUUAAGGAAACACACACACACACACACACACACACACACACACACAAGGCAUGGGUAUUUUAUGUAAUGGAUCUACACAUAAAUUCCACAUCAGUUUCUCCGAUCUCUCCUCUGAUUCAAUUCAUAUUCGUAAUUGUGUUUCUGCCGCCCGAGUUUUCAAGUCAAAACACUCAUUUACAACGUCUCGCUGCACUGAUGAAUGAUUCUCACUGACUCACGCUCCUAAAUCAAUUUAGCUGACAUUCGACAGGUCUAACUUCAUGGCAGUGGAACGACGCGACAGAUUUCAGAACCUCCUCCGUAUUUUCUCUCCUCUCUCUCUCUCUCUCCGGUCGGCUCGGAUGUGCUUCGCAAGCAGUGGCGUGCAGCCAAAGCAACCCAGCGUCCUCGUUCUGCGGAGACAGCGGCCGUGUCGUGCUGAGCGAGAGAGGGAGGAACGAGGGUUCGGGACGAGUCGUCCUGUAUGCCUGAGCGCCGCACGCUAUACUCCGUGCAGACGCUUUCCCGCGAGUGACGCGAGGCCGUAUGUCAAAGACGGGCGCGAUACGCCGAGGAGACCGAGACCCGGUUCCAAAGUCACGCUCCGUACGUCCUGUUUAGGUCUGGAUUGUGUCUGUAAAUCACUGGUUUGGAGCGCUGGGUAGAAUGACAAGGCCUCGUGGGAUGGAGAAAGCCUUCACUGAGGCUAAGCAAACACACGAGGCAGUGAAGGAUGAGGACGGAUCCCUCAUGUAAGCCGGGUCGGUGUGUGCCGAUAUGCAAACCUCAGCUUCAAGUGGUUUGUCAUGUUAUUAUUAAUAACGAUGUGUGGUUUGGUGAAUGGACGAAUGGAAAUGCCAUGUGCUCCUUAAAUCUGGACAAAACAAGGAAUUUCAACAGAGAGUUGUUGUCCGUUUAAUUUUUUUCAUUAGGAAAACACACACACACAGUCACCGAAAGACGGACUGCGUCCGUGCGCGCUAUUUUUACAAGUGUCUCGAGUCCGUGUCGUCGAACAGCAAGCGCGUUAAACUGAGGACUGGUUGAUGCGCCGAUCCUUUUGUUCGAACCGAGAGAAUCACCACAACGCUCUGGCCAGACCGUUGUGCAAUUUGUACUUCGAUCCCACGAUCUCGGCUUAGCCUAUUUACGUCUAGUUUUUAUUCUAGACAUUUUGAGAAAUGGAGUAAUCGAGCGAAGUGAAGUAAUCCACCUAAUCUCUGUUCAUCUGCUCAUAAUUACCUGCGAGUGUAUUUCACACUCGUCCUCUCGAUCGCUGAGGAUAACGUGUUAUGGGUGUUUCAGCGACACGGGCUUAGAAAGGAAAAAAAAAAAAAAAGCCUAAAUUGAGGCGAGGCGGCGCGUCAGCGGGGCUGCGCCGUUACCGAGGAAACAGGAAUCGGCAUUUUUUUGGCUCGGAAUUCUUUGAACAAUAAAGACACUCACCGACAAAUUUAUUAGCAAUACUUGUAUGCGUGCAUGUUCAUGCAUUUAUCCCAUCAACCAAUCACAUGGCAGCAGCACAGUGCAGGAAUCUGAAUCUUUUUGUUGGGGGAGCUAGGUAGAGCAAAACCUACAGCCUGGGUGAGAAAGAAAUCAGCCCCUGAUAAACUGAUAUAAUCGUGGAUAUAAACAAUCAGACAACAGCUUAUGCCUGCUGGUCAUAUAAUAUAUGAUAUAUAUUGAUAACCACAAGUCGGCCAUGGCGUACCUAUACCUAUGCAUAUUCGGGCUGCGUCUCAAAUACACUGUUUAUGACACCGAUAUUAAGUAAGCACGCCGGUCGUAUCGGACAUUACCCCGAGUAUGUGCACACGAGUAAAACUGAAAACUAACCAUAUAAUGACGCUGACCUUCAGCUCCUGAUGUAAAAGAACAUUUUUGACUUGAUGCCUCUCGCAAGUACUGAUCUACGCUUUAACCUCUGCAGGCGUGUGAACUCGGAGAAAAUUACAUACCUUAUAAAGAUAAAUGCAGGAACAGAAUGGAUCGAGACAUAACGCUACCUUUUAUCAUCAAUAAUAUCUUAGAAGGCCUUCAGGACUGAUGUGCGAAGAGCGCUGGGGUUCAGCCCGUGUGUUUAUAUUGUAGGUGCACUAUUACAUUACAGCCAGGGCGUGCUGUGUACUGUACGUAAACACAGCAGCGGAUUAAAUCUCCAACAACAACAACAAAAAAAAAUAAACCCUGCCAAAUACCACUAAUUGAGAGCGUGGGCUCUCCCCCUCGAGAAGGGGAAAAGUUAAUUAACCCGCCGCAUUAAAGGAAACCGUAAUGUGAACUCCGCUGUCACCUCGUAUUAAGCGGUUAAGAGGCUUGUGCGCUCGGAAACUUUUUUCCCCUCCGUGUUUAAAAGUGUACGCUACAAAACCGUACGCCCCCCCCAUCACUUGCGUAAUACUUUACGUUUGAAUUCGUGAAUUAUUUCGAGGAAGGCGGCGAACGCUUAUCGAGUGCACACGACGGUGAAAGAGCAUUUAGGAUGCUUAAUUAAACAUCGGCAUUAACGUAAAAACCCACUGUUGGGUUCAUUUAUCUGGCUCGGUGAAGCCAUUUGUCGUUACGUGACUUAGCCGUGUAGCUUAUACGCACGGCCGCGUUCAACGCGAACCUCCCGAGGCCGGCGGGUUCCGCCAGAGUUUCCGCCGGCUUACUCGUGAGGUUGAUCACGAAUCGCUCCGCAUUGCGGGAACGUUGAAAGAAUUUUCACGGGCGAGAUACGAUCAUAAGAAUGCUACAGCUACAGACUCCGCCCACUCUGUUCUAACCUUUCAGACUUUUUAAGGACAAUUAAAAGAAGAUUGAACUAGAAAUCUAGGCAUGUCCUUCGAUUUGACGUCAGAGAUUUCUAUGAUAUAAUAAAACACUGAGAUAUGCGCUUAGAGGAAAAUAAUCCAAGUCGGGGUAGUGUGAACGUAUUUUCCCAUAAAAUCAGUAAGGGAACUCUGAAGUACAGUUCCCAACAGCCACUGCUUCACUGUCACAUGACCACCUGUGCCUGAUUCACGGUCCUGGUAAUUAGCACCCUUGCAUAUAGUCGCAGUUUGCAAUGCCCACUCUGUCUCACGUUAUCGUCUCACUAUACCUUUGUCUCUGCCACAGUGUUUCGUUUCCUUGUUGCAGAGUGUUUCGUAUGUUUGUUUGUUAAUAAAUGUUUAAGAAUCUGCGCUUGCUUCCGUCUCUACCUUUGAAUCGUGACGGUUAUAAACAGUCGUUCCUCACUACUCUAGUAGUACUUGUAACUGCCUGUUACAAAGUGCUGAAACUGGAGACUCCUUCCAUGAAUGCUAAAUAACCAUGUCCUAACAUAAAGCUUCAAUGGUUAUAAGUUGAUCUUUGAUUAAAAAAAAUAAUUAUAAUAAAAAAAAUCUGUUACUAUAGAAACGUACUAGAGCGAGUGCUUUAAAUCAAACCGAUCAUUCCUGACCAAUCAGAUUCGACAACUCGACAAGAUCGUAGCCAAGAACCCUAAACGAUCCGUUUACUAAAGAGUAAAUACGUACUUUCAAUACGUACGUACGGUCUACACUUAGACAAUUAAGUUCAAUCACAAAAACUGUUCUGAGCAACAUAAUGUUAGUUUAAUGUAGUUAGUUUGCAACGGCUUCUCACUGAGAAGCGCGACGGCGUCUUAUUAGACCCUAAUCGCUUCGGUAUACGAUCAGAAAGUGAAGAAACAGGAGGUAAAAGUGAGAGGAAAUGGGAAACAUCUGGUCAGAUCCAACCUCAGGGACAGGCAAAGCUUUCUACAAAUGAAAACUCAUUAAAAGACUAAUCACACACAUGACUUGAAAGUGAGACGCACCCACCGCUUGACAUUCAAAAGCUGUUACACCAGCACUUGUAGGAAAUUAAUGUAUAUCACACGCUCAGACUCCCAAAUUCAAAUUCCCUGCAAAGUCGUAACUCUGUGUAACAAACGGAGCUUUUUCUCGAGGAAAGGUGGGCUAAAAAUACGUCUUUACAGCAAAGCCCCUUGUUUGCGGGAUGUUUCCAUCAGGACGAGGUCUCGCUGGACGACAUGAGUGUACUCCAAGGAAAGCUAGAAGGUUGUACAGUUAACUCCCAUGGUGUAAUUCUAAACCAUACAACCUACUACCUCAACCUGGAUGCACACGGUUUCUUCUCGUAUCCAGGGUCCGCUCCGUAGUCUGGCGCUUCAGAUCUGGAGCUUGAAAUGGAAAAAUAAGCUCACAGCGACUAACACAUAUAGCACAACACGCGUUUAAAAAACAGAAAAGAUUUACCGGGGAUUUUCUGAUGAUUAAGGGGAUGGCGUGUACUGUUCCGCUGAGCUUUCCUCAUGACGGGUAUUAAAUUUAAAGAGAAACCAAAACGUCCCACUACGGAACAUAAAUACUCCAAUGCUAUUAAACUGGGCAGAAAAUGGCUGAUUGCACCACAGUGACAGAGACCCACAGAAGCGAGCUUGGGUUGCUAGAUUCGCCACAAGAUCGGAUCUACGGGUUUAUGACAAGUGGUUCGUCCUCGAAAAAAAACCAAAAAAAACAACGACAGCAAAACAAACUAAAUAAAAACAACAAACGCACAAAUGUCUACGUCACAAAUUCCCGACGCUAAUCGAAAAAGAAACAUUUUAUUCUUUUGAAAAGGGAAGAAAAAAAAAACGAGACAAAUUACGACAAAAGUAGCUGGACGAAACUGUUAGAACUUAAACUAGCACGUCGACAGACUCGUCUUUUCUCUCGGGCGCGUGUCGAGCGAUUACGCCCGGGUGCGAGAAGACACCUCGUGAUGCUCUACUGCUAGACAGCUCAUCUGUAGUGUACGAGAUUACGGUGGAAAGCUUACCUGAUGUAGCACGGCUCCGGAAACGUAUCGCACGCACGCCCGCUCGUCGCACUGAAAAAAAACAAACAAACAAACAAAGAUCGUUAUCGAUCAUCAGUCACAACAUCAGACAAAACACUUUAGUAUUGUGG
ensembl:lncRNA